AUGCAAGCAUGUUCCUUAUUACUUGGUAGACCAUGGCAAUUUGAUAAAAAUUCUGUACACCAUGGUAGAAACAAUCACUAUACUCUUGUUCAUAAGGAUAAAAAUAUUACUUUGCUUCCUAUGACUCCUGAUUCCAUUUUGAAAGAUGAUAUUAAUAGAGCUAAUAAAGCAAAACAGGAGACGAAUAAGAGUGAAAAUCAGAUUGUGGCAAAAGAAUUUGAGCAACAAAUGAAGCCUAAUAAUAAACCAUCUAGUGUUGCUUCUGAAAUUAAAUUGGAAAGUGCAUGUUUAUUUGCCACCAAAUCUGAUAUUGAUGAGCUAGAUUUCAGCAAAUCUGUUUGCUAUGCUUUUGUGUGCAAAGAGGCAUUAUUUUCAUUCGAGGACGUGCCUUCCUCUUUGCCUCCUGCUAUCACUAACAUUUUGCAGGAGUUCGCUGACGUCUUUCCACAAGACGUGCCACCGGGAUUACCGCCUAUUCGAGGGAUUGAGCAUCAGAUUGACUUAAUUCCCGGUGCUUCACUGCCAAACCGUGCACCAUACCGUACCAAUCCAGAGGAGACGAAGGAGAUUAUGCGUCAAGUACAAGAGCUUCUCGCAAAGGUUUUAUACGCGAAUCCCUCAGUCCUUGUGCUGUUCCUAUUAUUCUAG
rnacentral:rRNA from 1 species